rnacentral:rRNA from 1 species
GACGAACGCUGGCGGCGUGCCUAACACAUGCAAGUCGAGCGGGGUCCAUCCGGUAGCAAUACCGGGGAAGACCUAGCGGCGAACGGGUGAGUAACACGUGAGAAACCUGCCCCGAAGUCUGGGAUAACCCGAGGAAACUCGAGCUAAUACCGGAUGUCUUCUUCUGAUCGCAUGGUCGGAUGAAGAAAAGAUUUAUCGCUUCGGGAGGGUCUCGCGGCCUAUCAGCUAGUUGGCGGGGUAACGGCCCACCAAGGCGUCGACGGGUAGCUGGUCUGAGAGGACGAUCAGCCACACUGGGACUGAGACACGGCCCAGACUCCUACGGGAGGCAGCAGUGGGGAAUAUUGCGCAAUGGGCGAAAGCCUGACGCAGCAACGCCGCGUGCGGGAUGAAGGCCUUCGGGUUGUAAACCGCUUUCAGUGGGACGAAUUCAGACGGUACCCACAGAAGAAGCCCCGGCCAACUACGUGCCAGCAGCCGC